rnacentral:lncRNA from 1 species
GCCUUUGCUGCUUUACGAGAACACUGAAGAACCUUGUGAAGAAAGCUUGAGCUAGAGUGAGGAAAGGUACAGGUGGUGAGGAGCUGCCAUGAUGAGGAUAUUUCCCUGCUUCAGCUACACGAGUGACUCUUGAACCUGGUGAUCUGGAAUCUAGAGUGGAGAAUUACUACCACCAGCGGAGCUCCAGCCAUCAAAAAUAAACACCAACUCUUCCUACGCUCCACCCCUAUGAAUACUGG